rnacentral:rRNA from 1 species
CCUACGGGUGGCAGCAGUGAGGAAUAUUGGUCAAUGGACGAGAGUCUGAACCAGCCAAGUAGCGUGAAGGAUGACUGCCCUAUGGGUUGUAAACUUCUUUUAUAUGGGAAUAAAAUGUUCCACGUGUGGGAUUUUGUAUGUACCAUAUGAAUAAGGAUCGGCUAACUCCGUGCCAGCAGCCGCGGUAAUACGGAGGAUCCGAGCGUUAUCCGGAUUUAUUGGGUUUAAAGGGAGCGUAGGUGGAUUGUUAAGUCAGUUGUGAAAGUUUGCGGCUCAACCGUAAAAUUGCAGUUGAAACUGGCAGUCUUGAGUACAGUAGAGGUGGGCGGAAUUCGUGGUGUAGCGGUGAAAUGCUUAGAUAUCACGAAGAACUCCGAUUGCGAAGGCAGUUCACUGGACUGCAACUGACGCUGAGGCACGAAAGUGUGGGUAUCAAACAGGAUUAGAUACCCCAGUAGUC